rnacentral:lncRNA from 1 species
GCUUCUUGCUCUCUUUUCCUGAAGAUGUAAGAAUAAAGCUUUGUCGCAGAAGAUUCUGGUCUGUGGUGUUCUUCCUGGCCGGUCGUGAGAACGCGUCGAAUAACAAUUGGUGCCGAAUUCCGGGACGAGAAAAUCCGGGACGAGAAAAAACUCCGGACUGGCGCAGGAGGGAUACCUCAUUCCAGAACCAGAACUGCGAAUCAAGGUUAUAAGGUUCCCGUAACACAGACUGUUGAGAAGGAUUCAACUGCCGAAUUCAGAACUCAUCAGCUGGGGAACGACGGUGAUAAAGGUUCCCGUAAAGCAGACUGUUAAGAAGGAUUCAACUGUAUGAAUUCAGAACUUUUCAGCUGGGGAACGAGAAUGAAGACAACCCAUUUUGGGUACCGGAAAGACUCACCCGAAAAAUCCAGACUGACCAAGGGAAUACUAAUGUCCCUCGUCUUGGUGAUGUCCAGGGCGUCAAUAAUAAAGAGAGAGCAGCGUUGGGGGAUAAUGUCGACAUUUCCACUCCCAAUGACGGUGAUGUAUAAUGCUCAAGUAUUCUCCUGCCUUUUUACCACUAACUGGGAACUGGGUUUGGCCUUAAUUCAGACAGCCUUGGUUCUGUCUGGACAGGUCCAGAUGACUGACACCAUUAACACUUUGUCAGCCUCAGUGACUACAGUCAUAGAUGAACAGGCCUCAGCUAAUGUCAAGAUACAGAGAGGUCUCAUGCUGGUUAAUCAACUCAUAGAUCUUGUCCAGAUACAACUAGAUGUAUUAUGACAAAUAACUCAGCUGGGAUGUGAACAAAAGUUUCCGGGAUUGUGUGUUAUUUCCAUUCAGUAUGUUAAAUUUACUAGGGCAGCUAAUUUGUCAAAAAGUCUUUUUCAGUAUAUGUUACAGAAUUGGACGGCUGAAUUUGAACAGAUCCCUUCGAGAAUUGAGACUUCAGGUCAACUCCACGCGCUUGGACCUGUCGCUGACCAAAGGAUUACCCAAUUGGAUCUCCUCAGCAUUUUCUUUCUUUAAAAAAUUGGGUGGGAUUAAUAUUAUUUGGAGAUACACUUUGCUGUGGAUUAGUGUUGCUUCUUUGAUUGGUCUGUAAGCUUAAGGCCCAAACUAAGAGAGACAAGGUGGUUAUUGCCCAGGCGCUUGCAGGACUAGAACAUGGAGCUUCCCCUGAUAUAUCUAUGCUUAGGCAAUAGGUCGCUGGCCACUCAGCUCUUAUAUCUCACGAGGCUAGUCUCAUUGCACGAGAUAGAGUGAGUGCGCUUCAGCAGCCCGAGAGAGUUGCAAGGCUAAGCACUGCAAUGGAAAGGCUCUGCGGCAUAUAUGAGCCUAUUCUAGGGAGACAUGUCAUCUUUCAUGAAGGUUCAGUGUCCUAGUUCCCUUCCCCCAGGCAAAACGACACGGGAGCAGGUCAGGGUUGCUCUGGGUAAAAGCCUGUGAGCCUAAGAGCUAAUCCUGUACAUGGCUCCUUUACCUACACACUGGGGAUUUGACCUCUAUCUCCACUCUCAUUAAUAUGGGUGGCCUAUUUGCUCUUAUUAAAAGAAAAAGGGGGAACUGUGGGAAGCCGCCCCCACAUUCGCCGUCACAAGAUGGCGCUGACAUCCUGUGUUCUAAGUUGGUAAACAAAUAAUCUGCGCAUGAGCCAAGGGUAUUUACGACCACUUGUACUCUGUUUUUCCCGUGAACGUCAGCUCGGCCAUGGGCUGCAGCCAAUCAGGGAGUGAUGCGCCCUAGGCAAUGGUUGUUCUCUUUAAAGAGGGAAGGGGUUUUCGUUUUCUCUCUCUUGCUUCUUGCUCUCUUUUCCUGAAGAUGUAAGAAUAAAGCUUUGUCGC